CUUGGUGGCCAAAGAGGAGGGGGUACACCCGGUCCCAUUCCGAACCCGGUAGUUAAGCCCUCCAUCGCCGAUGAUACUGCAUGGUAGCGUGUGGGAAAGUAGGUCGCCGCCAAGGAAUAUUUCAAGCCCCCAGUC
rnacentral:rRNA from 1 species